GCUCCCUUAGCUCAGUUGGUAGAGCAACGGACUGUUAAUCCGUUUGUCGCUGGUUCAAGCCCAGCAGGGGGCG
rfam:Treponema brennaborense DSM 12168, complete genome.